rnacentral:lncRNA from 1 species
UGACCUCUUGAAGCUCAGUCUGAGCUGGGAAGGUCGGUCCCCUCCUCAUGUUAGCCAUCUUUUCCCAGAGAACAGCAACGAACACAACACCCGCAACCUACACAGGAACAAGCCAACAUGCCCAGAGAUGGUCAGUCGUAUUGGGAUAACAGUUCUAGCCUGAGGCGAAUCAUGAAGAUACCGAACCUCACCACCCUUUAUCCAUAUGGGGAUCCAUCCGUGUUUCCUGAGAAUAGUGAAGUGAACAUUCUGGGAGUGGAUGGGGUCAUGUACAAAGGCAGGAUGGCCUCUCGUGGUGCUCCACAUUCUGUUAUUACUGAGAAGGACCUGGCAGGAUUAAAGAGCCCAAGGGCCCCAUCAUCCCGCAGUGCAUGUGAGCAUAUACGUUCCAGUGUCUCUGGUGCCAUGUACCCUGCCUCACGCCCCAGAACCAGCAUGACAGCCCACGUCCUGCAGCAGUUCACUUCGCAGCCUAUGCUGACUUCGGGAACUCUCCAGCACUCCCCAUCCUCAGCUGCAAAUAUGUCCAGCACCAAAAACAGGCCUGUUUGCAGACCAGCUACCAGCAGUGGCCCGUUUGCCGCCAAGCCCAGCUCUGCUUCUUUACCUAUCAACGGCUUCAAUCCCAUUUCACCAGAAGAGGGAACCAGCAUGUGAGCCCCUUCCACUCCCUCUUCCACUGAUGUAGCCCCCCCUCUUCCAUCAGGAGUCCUCCACUCACAGCCCAUCCCCUAAGAGAGAUCAAGCUGGUAAUGGAUUCCAUUGCCUAAGAAAGUUGGAUGGAUUUGAAAUCAGAGAACCUGGAUUCAAAUCUCAGCCCUGCCACAUAUUGCCCUGCCUUAGACAAGUCACUUGGACUCUUUGGGCCUUAAUUUUCUCAUCUGUAAAAUAAGGAGGUUGAAUUAAAUGGCUAUUAAGAUCCCUCCCCUUCUAAAUCAAUGAUCCCUCUGGGGCCAUCUCUUGCCCUUCCAUCCUUCAGUAUUCUAGCUUGCUGUAAAAAUGCUGGGGAAUCAACAGUUGCUCUAAAAUAAAGUGGAUUUUUUAAGGCUUGUGAGGCA